GCAUUGACUUCUAUACAGAAAUUAUUUUGCAAGUUGCCUCUGAAGUCGUCUUCAGGUCGCCUUGCCGAGUCGCCCCCCCAAAGUUGUGCCGCCCCCUGUGUGAAUUGGCUCUAAAAGAACCUUAUUAUUAUUAUUUUUAUUAUUUCCCGUGUGUUUGCCCACCACGCACCAAAGAUGUAGAAAUCGUUAGAGGAAAAAUAUAUUUAUGAUUGAGAUAUUAUCUCUUUGAAGAAGUACUUGAAUUAGAAGAAACUUGUAGCAAAGUGCUUUACCAUUAACUAUGCCUAAUUUAUUUUUAAUUUUUUAUUUUUUUUGCCCUGAUGAAGAGAGUUCAGAUAUUUUUCUGACUAAUGUUUUUUAGAGCAAUAAAAUACUAGAAGCAAAUGUGCUCAAUGAAACCAGUGCUCACAUGUUAAAAGGAUCAUGCGGUUCGCACUUUAAGAAACGUUUACAUCGAAUAUUGUACAGAAACUGCAGUCUCGUGUGUGUGAUGCAGAGAUAGCUAUGUUGCGUUUCGAAGACGGCAAGACGGGGGGGAAAAGAGGAAACGUUUGUAACUGUGAAGAUGUAUAAAGUAUUUAUAUAUACUUGUACUCAAAAUAAUGUAGAAUAUAUCCGUAUUAAAGCAGGGGGAAACCAUUUUUAGACACUACUGUUAUGAUAUUUGCAUGUAACACUGGCACCAAAUUUCUGUGUAAGACCAUAAGGCCCUCAGUCAUGAUGUGUUUCAGAUAGUUUUCGAGAUACAUUUUGUAGAGAGAGGUACCUGUGUCUGUCAUUCCAGACUCCCUUCUGAAAAAUGCUAGCUUCCUGGUUUUCAUUCUGAUCCACCCACUGAUCAUUGACCCACAGCAAGUAUGCAGGUUAGAUAUUUGGGCGGCACAGUUGGCUUACUUGCCCGGAUCAGUGUCUCCCAAAGCAGUGGAGCCAAAGCAUGAAGCAAGCCAUGCAACAUACAUUCUUUUUUGUUUUUGGUGGAGAAUGCGGGCAAAGAUGCAACCUACAUUCUUUUUUUUUUUUUUGGUGGAGAAUGCGGGCAAAAAAGCAACCUUUGGUGGAGAAUGCGGGCAAAAAAGCAACCUACAUUCUUAGGUAUUUCUUUCAUGACCAGAUCUCUUUAAAGCUUAAGUUCACCUUCAUAAAAAAAAUCUGACUUUAUUAUGAACUAUAUGGCCAAAAGUAUAUGAAUACCUCACUAUCGCACCCUGUAUGUGGACAGAUCUCCAAAUUAUUGACUUUCAGGUUUUCAAGUGAAGGGUCCUCUUAAAGUGGUACAAAAGCUUUGUGUUUUAAAAAAAAUAAAAUAACAAACAUAUACUUACCUCCACUGUGCACUUCAUUUUGCACAGAGUGGCCCCGAACGUCCUCCUCUGGGGUCCCACGGCAGCUCAGGUGUCCACAAAUGCCUUCCCACCAAGGUAAGGGGGCCAACUUAGUAUAAAUGCCCAUAAUUUUGGAAUGGGGUGUCCAACAAGCUCAUCUAGGCGUGAUGGCUAGGUAUCCACAAAUGUCUUGUCACCUAGGGGAGGGGGCCAACUCAGGAUAUAUGUCCAUAGUUUUGGAAUGUGAAGUCCAACAAGCUCAUCUAGGUGUGAUGGUCAGCUGUCCACAAAUGUCUUACCACCAAGAGGAGGGAGCCAACUCACUAUAAAUGCCCAAAGUUUUGGAAUGGGAAGUCCAACAAGCUCAUCUAGGUGUGAUGGCCAGAUAUCCACAAAUGUCUUGCCACCUAGAGGAGGGGGCCAACUCAGUAUAAAUGCCCAUCAUUUUUGAAUGGGACGUCCAAGAAGCUCAUCUAGGUGUGAUGGUCAGGUGUCCACAAACUUUUGGCCACAUAGUGUGUUUGUUGUGCAUUCCUCUUCUAUUUUUUUUUUACGUUAUAUUGAAACAUCUUUAUUUCCCCCAUUUUCAUGACCCACUUCACUUUCCUAGAUCUGUCUGACCCCCUUCACUUUCCUAGAUCUGUCUGACCUCGUUCACGUUUUCAAAUUCUGGUUGUCAGUGAUCUGUGUAUGUGCAGAAACCCAUUGUAUACGAAACAAAAUAACUAUACACCGAUACACCACCCACACAAUAAAGAAGGAAAUGUUAAGUAUAAGUCAUCUAAAAAAAAUAGGGAUGUAUAAGAUAUAUUGAGAACUAAGCAUAUAUAUCUAAAUGAACUGUAUCAGCACGUGUGAUGCACUUGCAGUUUUUAGCUGCAAAAAGGUGAACUUACACUUUAACGUGUGACACAACAUACCGGGUUUUUUUUUUUAAAUUAUGUUUUUUUUUUAAUUUCUUGUUUUUAUUGCAAUUCUAUAUGGCCAUUUUUUGUUUUAUUCUUGUGAUUUUGUACAAUCGUUUUACAGAAAGAAAACGUAAAAAAAAAAAUGUAUGCAGAAUUUAUAAAGAAGAUCUAUGUUUUCUGUUUUAGAGUACUUGACUAAGGAGUUAACUUUGCAUGGUCCCUUAGCCUGCGGUGUACUUUUAUUACAGACAAGUGCAUGUACAGUACUAGUUCCUUACUAGCAACAUAUCCAUUUUUUGUCGUUUGCAGGAAUGACUGUGUUUAGGGAACUCUUGUAACGUAGAGACAAAAACAAAUUUCAUUUCGGUGUUCUGAAACACAUUUUUGUAUGUCCCCAUUUGUUCUAAGCUCCCUUAUUACCCAGAAUUACCGUGUCUUUUAUAUUCCUUUUUCAUAGGCGUAAAAAAAAAAAAACUAUUCCUUUAUAUAUGGCAAAAAAUAAAUAAAAUGGUGAUAUGGGAUU